CUUCUGCGGGUGCUGCCCCUUUAAAUCCGUUGAAGUGACGUCAGUUACCAUAGAAACGAAGCUACAAGGAACAACAGAAAGCGGCGAUGCUCCGUGUCUCUUAUGGUUUUCUUCACUUUUUCAGGAGUGACAAAAUAACCCCUCUAUAAUAGAAAAUAAGCUCAAGAUUUCUGCAUUUUCGAAUGGAGCUGCUGAAAGAGAUGUUGAAAACUCAGAUUUGUCCAUGCUGAUGGCCAAGCAGCAGAGUUCAAGCAAACCUGUCAGAAAACAUAUCUAAGGGGCUAUGUAUGAACCAUAUGGCUAGAUACCCAUACACGUUACAGAAGCUCCAGUAUGGAUCCAGCCUCACUAGUAAAGACUUCAGAUGACGCCUACACUCUCAGAGACUUCAGAUGAUGGCAACUAGAUGGACAUACAAAACUGCCAAACAUUAUAUAUAUAUAUAUAUAUAUAUAUAUAUAUAUAUAU